ACAGGAUCUCACUCAGUCACUAAGUUGCCCAGGCCAGCCUUGAAGUUAUGACUCUUGUGCCUCAUCCUCUGGAGCAGCUGGGAUUAUAGGCUUGAGGCCCUGCUUCCUUUGGCUGCUGCUGAUGUACCCCGUGCACGUAUUCUCACCGGCUCACUCACGUCGGCACGCCAUUCACUCAGGCCAGGGGCAGACGACAAAAGUCUCUGGGCACUGGCAGCUGAAUAGAAUUUCCAAAGGGACUAAUUUAUCGAUGACACCUGUCAAAGCAUUCCAGAUGUGGAACUGGGAUUGAAUGCAGGGCCUUUGCACUGAGCUGCAUCUCCAGCCUCUUUUUUCUUUUGAGGCAGGAUCUUACUAAGUCACAAAGUUGCCCGGGGUGGGCUCAAGUUUGCAAUCCUCCCGGCUCAUCCUCCUAGAGACUGGGCUUUUUAAAGUGGGCUUUGGAGGGGCCUGAGACAGUUCCUGUUUUAAGGCAGCAGCUGUUUGUAGCCAUUGAGGUUGAGAUCAGGAGGCUGAGGGCCUUGGAGCGAUGCCUGGGGGUGCAGUCUGCUUGCAGAUGAGGCUGGAGUCCAAUCCUCCGUGGGGAAGGCUGCAGAGUGGAAGUCUGCGUUCAGGACCUGGGCACAUUUCCAGGGAAACUCCAGGGUGUGCCAGGUUAUGGGAGUUCACAUUAAUUACCUUCUCCCGACUGUUACAGCAAAGAGCAAUUGUGGAGUGUGACAUAAAUGCAUCAAAAAGAAAGCCAGACUGGGUGGCAGUGCCUGUUGUCUCAGCUACCUGGGAGGCUGAGGCAGGAGAAUCACUUGAGCCCUGAGUUCAAAGCCAGCUGAGGCAACACAGCAAGACCCCAUCUCAGAAUAAAAGAAAGCACACUGAGAAAUAGAGGACAAGCUCCCAACAUUCUGGCCUUCCUCAUCACCUGUGAACAUCUCGAGGCACCCAGCGGGCAGGCUCCAUAUUUGCAGAGGGGGCUGGGCUCACUGGCUGCUGGUUUUGUAGACUCGGCAGCAAGCACUGAUGGUCUCAACAUCUUCACCCAUGGGUGGUGCUGGGGUGGAACCCAUGCUCGGAUUGCUAGGCCGACACUCAGGGCUGAGCCAUACCUUUCAUUUAUUUGUUCUUCACACUGAAUAUCAGAUCUUUUCUGGUCCUGA